rnacentral:rRNA from 1 species
GGUGACGACAGAAAAGUUACCCCAGGGAUAACAGGCUCGUCGCGGGCGAGAGCUCUAAUCGACCCCGCGGUUUGGUACCUCGAUGUCGGCUCUUCCCAUCCUGGUCCUGCAGCAGAGGCCAAGGGUGAGGCUGCUCGCCUAUUAAAGGGGAACGUGAGCUGGGUUUAGACCGUCGCGAGACAGGUCGGUCUCUACCUGAUGGAAGCGGCGGUCAUCUGAGGGGAAGCUGUCCCUAGUACGAGAGGAACAGGGCAAGGCAGCCUCUGGUAUACCGAUCCUCCGACAGGGGGACGCCGGGUAGCUAAGCUGUUGAGGAUAACCCCUGAAAGCAUCUAAGGGGGAAGCCUUUCUUAAAAAGAGCCAGCGUUCCUUUAUGUAUUUCAAUUCGCAAGGAUUGGAACGCAUUAAGGAGUAGGGCUGCCAUAGAAGAUGGCGUUGAUAGGACGGAGGUGUACGCAGGAAGGCCCGUAAGGGCCGACUUGUUCAGCCUACCGUUACUAAUCGCCCAAAUGUUAGGUUCG